rnacentral:rRNA from 1 species
GAUGAACGCUGGCAGCAUGCUUAACACAUGCAAGUCGACUUGAACUUCGGUUUGGGUGGCGGACGGGUGAGUAACGCGUAAAGAACUUGCCUCACAGCUAGGGACAACAUUUGGAAACGAAAGCUAAUACCUGAUAUUAUGAUUAUAUGGCAUCGUAUAAUUAUGAAAGCUAUAUGCGCUGUGUGAGAGCUUUGCGUCCCAUUAGCUAGUUGGAGAGGUAACAGCUCACCAAGGCGAUGAUGGGUAGCCGGCCUGAGAGGGUGAUCGGCCACAAGGGGACUGAGACACGGCCCUUACUCCUACGGGAGGCAGCAGGGGGGAAUAUUGGACAAUGGACCGAGAGUCUGAUCCAGAAAUUCUGUGUGCACGAUGAAGUUUUUCGGAAUGUAAAGUGCUUUCAGGUGGGAAGAAAAAAAUGACGGUACCAACAGAAGAAGUGACGGCUAAAUACGUG